ensembl:misc_RNA
UUGUCCUGGACUGGAGACUGAAGUCCAGAAGAGGUUCACCACAGGCAGCCGCAGUGCAAGCUUCUUCAUGUACUCUCAUACCAGCAUGCCUCAAACCUUCCCUAGAGGGACCUUCACAGGAGAAGAAAGUAGUUCAGUCUCCAUUCCUAUUCAUGCAUUUUUCUCU